UCUGUCUGGGAGUUUCGGCCGCCGAAAGUGCCGCCGAACAUGCAUGAGUUUCGUCUCUGUCUGGGAGUUUCGGCCGCCGAAGGUGCCGCCGAACCUGCCUGACUUUCGGCUCUGGAGGGACUUUCGGCUGCCGAACCUGCCGCCGAAAGUGCCCUGUCCAGCCUUCCUUUGCAUGUUCUUGCAUGGAUGUUUUGAGAUGUUUUAG
rnacentral:lncRNA from 1 species